rnacentral:lncRNA from 1 species
GAUGUGUAAACAAAAAUGUAUAAUCUAAUAAUAUAUUUAGUAAUUAUAGAAAGAAUAAACAGAAAAUUAACACGAGGUUCAUAACAAGAAUGAAAGGGUUCAUAGAAGGUAUGCUAAGGACAUAAGCCUAUGUUUAAAGGAUGAUGCAUACAGAGCCUAAAAGUGCGUUUGGUCUGACAUUUUGAGAUCAUUUUAAAUUUUUAGUUUUCAAAAACACUCAAAAUGUGUUUGGUAUGUUAUUUUUAAAAAAAUGUGUUUUUGAAAACAAAGAAAAUUUUAAAAUACAAAAUUCAAAAUGAAUUUUUGAUGUUUUAAGUGUUUUCAUUGAGAAAUUCAAAACAACGAAAAUAAAUUUAAAAAUUUCCCCAAUUAAAAUAAUUAAUAAAAUCACAUAAAACUUACCUAAAUACAAAUACCCAUCUCCCAAUCCCUCUUUCUCUCUCUUCCAACGCUCCUCCAAAAUAUCAUAAAACAAUUUCUAAUGUUUUUAAAUCAAAUGCGUUUUCUAAUUUCUUGUUUUAAAAAACAAUUUUUUUAGAAUGACAAACCGAACUCCUUUUUUGCAAUUUUAAAAUAAUCUCUCAAAACAGAAAACGAAAAAUGAAUUCAAAAUUGUAAAUGGAAAAUUGAAAUGCAAACCAAAUGCACCCUGAGGUUCUUGAUGAGGAUGAAAAGGUAGGAAUAGAAAACUUUCGGUGCUUGUUUGGUAGGGAUUUUGAUAAUUGAUUUUUUGACCAUUAGAGAUAAAAUGGGUCCUAACUUUUAGAGAACAAUUCAAAAAUGACGACUGGAAUAAUGAAAUAACUGUUAAAAAUUUGAUAUUAAUUGGCUUAAAAUCUGUACCAAACAAACACUCAAUGAAAAGAAUAGGAAAUUCAAUACAUAUACAGGCUGAUUAGGAAAUACAAUACAUAUAAAGACUGAUUUGACUUCGAUAAUAUAGAUAUAAAACAGAGCUUUCAUAAAUUUUAAAAAGAAUAAUUGCAGCUGCGAUCCCGAAACUUUCAUCUUUUCGUAGACUUUAAUCAAAUCUUUCAUUUGUGUCAUCUAGUCUCAAACUUUAGGCCUUGUUUGUGGCCCUUUAAUUUUAUGAAUUGGAGUAUGGAAUAGUAAUUGAUGUUGAAAUAUGUGGUUAAAAAAGAAGGAAAUUUUUUUUAUUUAUGUUUAAUAUUAUUUUAAUGAAUAAUGUGUAGUUGAAAAUAAGUACUGUUGAAAAAUAAUGUAAUAGAAUGUGAGAGAAUGAUUGAAUAACAUGGGCAUAAUUUAGUCGCAUCAUUAGGGCAAACUAAAAUAAUCUGUCAAAUACACUGGUGGUUGACCAAAAAACUUGACUUUGACCACAUUUUGACCAACUAAAAGUGAUAAAAUAGUAACUUUAGAUUUUUCAUAUUUAACAAAAAAAAAAAAAAAAUUUGAAAGAAAGAAAGAAAACAAACAGAAACAAUGAUCUUCUUACCACCCCCUCUCCACCUAACCCCAGCCAAACAAACCAAAAUCCACCCAUUUCCACCGUGCCAAAGACCACAACCGACCCGCACAAGUUGCAAGGCAACGUCCACCACCCGAUCUUAAUUUAUUGGCUGGAGCUAGACUUGAUCAUAUUACAUGUUGGGGCUUGACUAGUUCUCAACUAUUCUAUUAAGAUUGGCUAGGAGUUUGCUCUCGAAUUUAUGCUAGAAAAUGGCGAAUCCAGGGCAACACAUUUUCCUAAAUUCCUCUAACGAGCCAAAUAGUGCAACUGUGUAUAUGAAUGUAAAGGGCACGCUUGAAAAAUCUAAAGUUACUAUUUUAUCCUUUUUAAAGUUGGUUAGAUUUUGAUCAAAGUCAAAUUUUUUUGUCAACUAAUAAUGUAGUUGAUGAAUUCUGUUGGUUUGUCAUUAUGAUACAACUAAAUUAAAGUUUGGGAUUGUGGGUAAUACAAAUGAAAGAUUUGGAUAAAAGUCUGAAAGAAGAUGAAAUGUUUGGGACUGUGAUUGCAAUUAUUCCAUUUAAAUUUGAGGUCGGUUUGGAAUAUGAAGAACAAGAAUCUAAAAUUGAACAUAAAAUAGAGCAAGGUAGUGAAAAUUUUAGAUUUAAUAGAGAUUUGCAUCUGUCGUGGCUAAUAUAUAGUGCACCUAUUUUAGAAGUUUGUGGACAAGUUUGCUCCUUUUCGUACGUAGGGACCAAUUUCUAAUUAUGCCAAUAGGUUGGGUACUAACUAUGCAAAUUUCCCAGAAGAUAGGUGUAACAAAUUUAUUUGUUUAUAUUUAAUAGUUUAUAUUGAAUAUAUUUAUUGUCACUCUAACUCAAUAACUUAGAAUUGUAAUACGUAAAAGUACGUGAGCAACGACACUCGAGUUUCAAUUCCUUUACUUUUCUUCAUUACAUUCCCUGUUUGGUGGCUAUUAUCUUGAAAAAAAUAAUGUUUUGAAUAGUAAUUUUUAAGAGAAUGUGUAAAUAAAAAGUAAGAAAAAAUUUUGAGUUUACGAGAAAAAUAU